UCAAAAACAUGUCUUUUUGAAAAUAAUUUAAAGUCUAAUCUGCCCACUGAUAAAAUUAUUAAAGGGCUGCAGUAUAUUGACUGUACAAAGGUAGCAUAAUCAUUAGUCUUUUAAUUGAAGACUUGUAUGAAAGAUUUGAUGAAAUAUAUACUGUCUCUAAUUUAUUAAUAAAAAUUAAUUUCUUAGUUAAAAAGCUAAGAUAAUAUUAAAAGACGAGAAGACCCUAUAAAGUUUUAUAAUUUAAUUAUUUAAUAUUAAUUAUAUAAUUAAAUAUAAUAAUUAAUUAAAAUUAUUUUAUUGGGGUGAUAGAAAAAUUUAAUUAACUUUUUUUAAAAAAUAAACAUUAAUAAGUGAAAUAAUGAUCCAUUAUUAGUGAUUAAAAGAAAAAAUUACUUUAGGGAUAACAGCGUAAUAUUUUUUUUUAGUACAAAUAAAAAAGAAAGUUUGCGACCUCGAUGUUGGAUUAAGAUAAAAUUUAAAUGCAAAAGUUUAAAAUUUUGAUCUGUUCGAUCAUUAAAAUCUUACAUGAUCUGAGCU
rnacentral:rRNA from 1 species